rnacentral:rRNA from 1 species
CGUAGGUGCGAGCGUUGUCCGGAAUUACUGGGCGUAAAGGGCUCGUAGGUGGUUUGUCGCGUCGUCUGUGAAAUUCCGGGGCUUAACUCCGGGCGUGCAGGCGAUACGGGCAUAACUUGAGUACUGUAGGGGUAACUGGAAUUCCUGGUGUAGCGGUGAAAUGCGCAGAUAUCAGGAGGAACACCGAUGGCGAAGGCAGGUUACUGGGCAGUUACUGACGCUGAGGAGCGAAAGCAUGGGUAGCGAACAGGAUU